rnacentral:rRNA from 1 species
GAUGAACGCUGGCUUCGUGCCUAAUACAUGCAAGUCGAGCGAACUGACGAGUUGCUUUCUUCUUUGAUGUUAGCGGCAGGCGGAUUUGUAACCCGUGGAUAACCUAGCUAUAGGACUUGGAUAACUUCGAGAAACCGGAGCUAAUACCGGAUGAUAUUUUGAACCACAUUGUUCAAAAGUUUAUGACGAUCUUGCUGUCAAUUUUAGAUUGAUCCGCUCUGCAUUAGCUAGUUGGUAAGGUAACGGCCUACCAAUGCAACGAUGCAUAGCCGACCUGAGAGGGUGAUCGGCCACACUGGAAAUGAGACACGGUCCAGAAUACUACCGGAGGCAGCAGUAGGGAAUCUUCCGCAAUGGGCGAAAGCCUGAAGGAGCACCGACGCGUGAGUGAUGAAGGUCUUCGGAUCGUACAACUCUGUUAUUAGGGAAGAACAUAUGUGUAAGUAACUGUGCACAUCUUGACGGUACCUAAUAAGAAAGCCACGGCUAACUACGUG